CGGUGCUUUCCAGGGAGCGUUUCCCCUCUGGCGGCGGGAAGAGCCCCUGAGGCCGAGGGGGACAGAGAACGGCCUGUGCUUUCCAAAAGGGCUUCCUUCCACAGUGUCUUAUUGAUUUAAGCUUCCUAACAAUCCUCGGUGAGUGUGUGUGUGCUCACACGCACACAUGCACACGCACUUUCUCUGAUUUACAGAUGAGAAAAACACAACCACGGAAGCUAAAGGACGUGUCGAAGGCCACCCGAAUUACACACGUGGCUUGCGGUCUCUUUCUGUCGGGCAGUGCUCUUUGACCACCGACUUUGUGCAAGAAUGGAGCAAGCUGUCUUCGCAGCCUGCAAACGCCGCACCUCCUUCCCCAUCAUCACUCUCAGCUGAAGAGCUGGCUUCCUGCCUCCCUUGAGGAAACAGAAGCCCUCAGAAGAGAAGUUCCAGGAUUUCUCAGGGGACUGUGCCGGAAACAGCAAAGGAGGACGAGGGUGGCAGCAGAAGGAUCCUUGAUAAAGACUCAGUGGCAAUCCAGAAAUCUUAACCCAAACCAAAUGCUUUGCUGCUGGGGUUGACCACACUGCGGAGCACCCGGGGCAUGCUGACAUCGUGAAGACGGUGACACUGGGCAGGAGCCAGAUCUCCUCAGAAAUCAAACAGUACAGGUUCACACGCCACCAGGGACUGCUGGAAUGUUGCUUUGUUUUGGACUCUGAAUUUAUAGUCCGGCCCCUCCUUCCCCCCCACCCCAACUUGAUUUAUCAUUCUGCAGACCCGGUGGCUCCCCUCCAACUUUAUUUCUUUCUUCAGAAGUAAACAAGGAUUUUACAACUCCAUAACCUCCCCAAAGUUUGUUUGUUCUUCCCUCUGAACAGUGUGGGCCAUGUUUGUUCCCUGGGAAAGUCUCUUCUCUAAUUAUUUUCACAUUUCAACAGCUUUUGUUUCUUCUUCUUUCCCUGAGGUUUAUAAAAAUGCUGAUGGCGGAUUUGCUGCAGGCUAAAUUGUACCGACGUUUUCUCCUCAGCACAUGGGAGAGUUGGUGACUGGGGGCCAUGUUGCCUUUUGUUACCGUGUAAGGGAUGCGCCAGAAGGAAAUUCGAAGAUCUUGAAGUCCUCCUUCGGAGGGCUGACGGAAAAAUAUGUAAAUUGGUAAAAGGAGGAAAUUCGACUGAUCUUGUACAAGGAGCCUUUGACAACACUGUGUGUGCAAGCCACAGCUGAGAAAAAGGCUGCCUGGAUGACUGACUUUUCAUUUUAAGUGGGGAACUUUCCGCCUCCAAGCCUAGAUGGAAAUUUGGUGCAUUUUAAGGAAAUAGGAUUUAGAAAAUCAAAGGCUAAUACAUCUUAGCAAAAUCUUAGAUUACGAGACACAUAAUGGCUUGCUUUAACCAAAAUCUGUGAAUCUAACCUUGAUGUUUGUGUAUUCAGUUUGAAGACUGAAGAAUCUCUAACAAUGACAAUCAUUGGUUCUGGGUGCCUUGUUUGUUUCUCUCCUCCCUUAUACGGCCCUAUGUGUCUUGUUGGUUUCAGUACCACCGCCCCAUACAUCCAACCCCAGAGAGACUUACUGACAGUAAGUGGCUCCAAAAUCUCAGAUUCACUCAACCCAUCAGCUAUUGUGUGAAAUUCCAGACCUGCCCCUGAGUAUCUCUCCUAGUAUCCAACAGGAACCCUCAAACCAGACUGUCUAAAAUGGAAUUGUGAUUUUACCCUCAGUCUGCAACCUUCUCAAAUUCCCCCACUUCCAGGCUCCUUUGGGUAUAUUGGAGCUUCUGUGGAGGGUCUCUUUCCAUCUUAGCCUCCUUCUCAAAUUCCCUACCACCAUCAUCCACCGAGGCCCCUUGCAAGGGAGGCCGAAGUCAUCCCACCUUCCCUGUCUCUCUUACCUGAUCAGGGCUUGAAUGUUGUCCAUUCUAACUGCCCCCUGUCUCUUGAAUAGUAUCACUUCUCUCCUUCUGUCUUCUCCUGAGACAUUUGCCUCAUUCAGGUUUUUAUUGCUUCUCACCUAGAUCACUGCUGUAGUCUCCUUGUUGGUCUCCACUACAGUCUGAAUGUGUGUGUCCCUCGAAAACCAUAUGUUGAAAUCUUAAUGUCCAAUGUGAUGGUGUUAGGAGGUGGGGCCUUUGGGAAGUAGUUGGGUCUUGAAGAUGGAACCAUCAUGAAUGGGACUCGCGCCCUUACAAAAGAGGCCCCAGAGAGUUCCCUAACCCCCUCUCACCAUGUGAGUAGCAGUGAGAAGUCCACAGUCUACAACCCAAAAGAGGACCUUCACCGGGAACCCAACCAUGCUGGCACCUUGAUUGUGAACUUUCAGCCUUUAAAAUUGUGAGAAAUAAAUUUCUGUUGUUUAUAAGCAACCCAUUCUACCAGUAUUUUGUUUUAACAGUUCAACAGGACUAAGGCAGUCUCUAUGUGAAUCUGACUCUCUCAAGCCCAUUAAGGGAUCACCUGCCAAGCUGUAAGAGUGCUCUGACCGCAGGAUGGACAUCACCUUG